GUGGGGAAUAUUGGACAAUGGGCGCAAGCCUGAUCCAGCAAUGCCGCGUGGGUGAAGAAGGUCUUCGGAUCGUAAAGCCCUUUCGACAGGGACGAUGAUGACGGUACCUGUAGAAGAAGCCCCGGCUAACUUCGUGCCAGCAGCCGCGGUAAUACGAAGGGGGCUAGCGUUACUCGGAAUUACUGGGCGUAAAGGGCGCGUAGGCGGCUCUGUUAGUCAGGCGUGAAAUUCCUGGGCUUAACCUGGGGACUGCGCUUGAUACUGCAGGGCUUGAGGCCGAGAGAGGGUGGUGGAAUUCCCAGUGUAGAGGUGAAAUUCGUAGAUAUUGGGAAGAACACCGGUGGCGAAGGCGACCACCUGGCUCGGUUCUGACGCUGAGGCGCGACAGCGUGGGGAGCAAACAGGAUUAGAUACCCCGGUAGUCC
rnacentral:rRNA from 1 species